UUCGAAGCAACGCGAAGAACCUUACCUAAGCUUGACAUCCCAAUGACAUCUCCUUAAUCGGAGAGUUCCCUUCGGGGACAUUGGUGACAGGUGGUGCAUGGUUGUCGUCAGCUCGUGUCGGAAGAUGUGGUGUUAAGUCCCGCCACGGGCGCAACCCUUGUCUUUAGUUGCCAUCAUUAAGUUGGGCACGCUAGAGAGACUGCCAGGGAUAACCUGGAGGAAGGUGGGGAUGACGUCAAAUCAUCAUGCCCCUUAUGCUUAGGGCUACACACGUGCUACAAGGGGUAGUACAGAGGGUUGCCAAGCCGUAAGGCGGAGCUAAUCCCUUAAAGCUACUCUCAGUUCGGAUUGUAGGCUGAAACUCGCCUACAUGAAGCUGGAGUUACUAGUAAUCGCAGAUCAGAAUGCU
rnacentral:rRNA from 1 species